AUGCACGGUUCAAUCUCUGUUGCUACAGCUUUGAAUAAUUCUUCCCCAGAUCUUCGUCCUUUUUUUCUGUCUUCCAACAUGACUCCUUCCUUUUACCCCAAUUUUGAAUCUCUCCCCUGCCCUUUCCUUUUCUCAUGUGUCCAUGGCUUGACGUACAUCAUGGUUGACACAAUGAGUGUUCUUCUGGAAGGGAAGGGAAGUUCAGCUGCUUGGUUGAGUCUUUUGCCGUGGUGGACUGCUGUUACCCAUAUGAGUAUCAGGGAGGACACAUUAUGGUGUCGCCUCUUGCGCAGUGUGGACCACAGCAUGAACGAAUACCCAGCCCUGCACUAUCCUCAAGGGUGGCUACAUAGACUUCUCUCACCAGGAGCACUGUGAGCCCCAGUCCUACUGCCCCAUGCACCACGAAGACCACAGAAAGGAGCUGCUGCGGUGCCGCACACACAGCCGAGCCUCCGCCUAGGAGCACCGCAGACGCCACCACAUCCAAACUUUUGUCAAACUCUGAGCCAGUCGUGUCGAGGAUGGAGUCCAGGAGAAGAACAGACACUCAGAGGGACAGCUGAGUCCAAACGGUGACCUCGAGAUUGUCCGUUUAAUUAUCCUACAGGAACCUACUUGACUAUGUGAUAACAAAUUGCCCUUUUGUUGUGCUUGCUCGCUUUCCAAAUGGAACCCUUUUUCACAUGCUGUCAUGUAAACUAUGCACUAUGUCGCUGUUCACUGAUGCCUUUGUCCAUUUUGUAGUAUAUCUUAAUUACAGUAGAGACCGCAGGUCGCCUUUUCAAAUUGCUUUAAUGUAAUUUCCACAUUGCAGAGCAGAAAAUGGUGGCAUUAUUUCCAGUGUCAAUCAUGGAUGUAUGUUUUCAUUAUUAAUGGGAAUCAUGACUUAAUUUGAGCUCUUCUGAAUACCAUUUUUUUAACCAGAGUGAAUGACCUUGGAGUUUAGGUUGAAUAGUUUUUAAUGUUUUGAUUAUAUCAGGGACCUGCGCAUGAAUUAAUGCAUUAUCUAUGACAUUUAUAAUUAAAAAACACACAAAAAAACUUAACUCUUAUUUUAAUUAUAUUAUUUCAAUGGGUAUCAUAUGGCCCAUGGACAGUAAAACCAAAACAUAAAGGAGAAAAUCUUUAGAAGUAUUUUUUUAUUAGGCUUGUCCUUGUGAAUAUCCUUAGACUUUAUCCCUGCCCGUGCCACAGGUGUGUCUAGUUUGCAGCUGUGAUUCCUCCCCCAACACAGCUGGGUUAACUCUAUCCCCCUCGCUGUUAAAAAGCCCCCCUCUUCUAUGCACAGCAGCUGUAAUUGCGGAACAACUGUGGGAUUUCACAGGCCCCAAAAAGUGGUAUCCGGCUAUACUGAAAGCAGAUAGGGUGGGAAUGGCCAUGGUUCAGACUUCAGACCUUUCCCAAGAGGAAGGAAGACUGGUACUGGCUGGCUGUUGGAGUGAAGGACCUUUUGGCAGUCAGUUUUUAUGGGUUUUUAAUACCACGUAUGGGCCUACAUACUCAUAUCCCUGGCAGCAACAACCCAGAGUCCCAGGCAAGGCCAUGAGAGGACGGGGGAUGUUGAGUGGGGAGAUAAGGACAUUGUUGGAGAAAAUUGUGAAUUAAGAAAUCACAUGAUAUCAACAGCUAUGUCCAAGUGGAGGUCUCAGAUUGCAGUUUUCGAAAGUCACUUGCGCAACAAAAUCAUCCUGUCGACUACCAUGACUGUAUGUGUCUAAUAAUGCUUUCUGGUGCGGUGUAAUGUUUGGAAUAUACAGGCUGGUUUCAACUGAGCCAAUGGAUUUUGAGUUCCUUAAUCCCUGCUCCUCAAGUCACGCAGUCCAGAGUGGAGAGGUAACGGGAGGGAACGUAAAAUUAUCCAUUCCAUCUUGUUUAUAAGUGGCGUUAUUAUAGUGCCGAUGAUGGAGAGAUUAGUUAUUGUCUGUUAGCGCAAUAUGCAGGAAGCCCAGGUGCAAAAGCCCAACUGCUAACAGUGAAAGGAAAUCCAACCUAAUAGCUGACUACAAUUUGCUCGUUUUUGGAGUCCAGUUAUUUUCUGCAGAGUCAAAUGACAUUUCAAUAGAGAAGGCCAUCAUGUUGGCCUUCAGAAAGUAUUCACACCCAUUGACUUUUUACAAGAAAAAUUGUGUUUCAGACAGAAUCUAAAAUGGAUUAAAUUGAGAUUGUGUGUCACUGGACACACAAUACUCCAUAAAGUCAAAGUGGAAUUAUGCUUUUAGACAUUUUUACAAAUUAAAAGCUGAAAUGUCUUGAGUCAAUAAGUAUUCAACCCCAUUGUUAUGGCAAGCCUAAAUAAUAAAUUCAGGAGUAGAAAUGUGCUCAACAAGUCACAUAAGUUGCAUGGACUCCCUCUGUGUGCAAUAGUGUUUAAUAUGAUUUUUUAAAUGACUUCCUCAUCUGUGUACCACACACAUACAAGUAUCUGUAAGGUCCCUCAGUCGAGCAGUGAAUUUCAAACACAGAUUCAACCACAAAAAACAGGCGUCCUUCCUAACUCAGUUGCCAGAAAGGAAGGAAACGGCUCAGGGAUAUCACCAUGAGGGCAAUGGGGAUUUUAAAACAGUUACAAAGUUUAUUGGCUGGGAUAGGAGAAAACUGAGGAUGGAUUAACAACAUUGUAGUUACUCCCCAAUACUAACCUACAUGACAGAAUAAAAAUAUUCCAAAACAUGCAUCAUGUUUGCAAUAAGGAACUAAAGUAAAACUGCAAAAAAUGUGCCAAAGAAAUUAUCUUUGUUCUGAAUACAAAGCAUUAUGUUUGGGGAAAAUCCAACACAUCACUGAGUACCAGUCUUCACAUUUUCAAGCAUGGCGGUGGCUGCAUCAUGUUAUGGGUAUGCUUGUCAUCAGCAAGAACUAGAGGUUUUUUGGGGGAUAAAAAGAAGCGGAAUAGAGCUAAGCACAGAAAAAAAUCCUAAAACAAAACCUGGUUCAUUCCGUCUGCUUUCUAACAGACACUUGGAGACAACUUCACCUUUCAGCUGGACAAUAACCUAAAACACAAGGACAGAUAUACACUGGAGUUGCUUACCAAGAGGACAUUGAAUGUUCCUGAGUGGCCUAAUUACAGUUUUGACUUAAAUCUGCUUGAAAAUCUAUGAAAAGACUUGAAAAUGGAUGUCUAGCAGUGAUCAAUAACCAACUUGACAAAGCUUGAAGAAUUUUUUUAAAGAAUAAUGUGCAAUCCAGGUGUGCAACGCUCUUAGAGAAAUACAUACAUACAUACAUACAUACAUACAUACAUACAUACAUACAUACAUAUACACACAUACACACACACACACACACACACACACACAAAUACAUAAAUAUACAGUUGAAGUCGGAAGUUUACGUACACUUAGAUUGGAGUCAUUAAAACAAAUGUUUCAACCACUCCACAAAUUCUUGUUAACAAACUAUAGUUUUGGCAAGUCAGUUAGGACAUCUACUUUGUGCAUGACAUGUCAUUUUUCCAAUAAUUGUUGUUUACAAACAGAUUAUUUCACUUAUAAUUCACUAUAUCACAGUUCCAGUGGGUCAGAAGUUUAGUUACACUAAGUUGACUGUGGCUUUAAACAGCUUGGAAAAUUCCAGAAAAUUAUGUCAUGGCUUUAGGAGCUUCUGAUAGGCUAAUUGAUAUCAUUUGAGUCAAUUGGAGGUGUACCUGUGGAUGUAUUUCAAAGCCUACCUUCAAACUUAGUGCCUCUUUGCUUGACAUCAUGGGAAAAUCUAAAGAAAUCAGCCAAGACCUCAGAAAAAAAAUUGUAGACCUCCACAAGUCUGGUUCAUCCAUGGGAGCAAUUUCCAAACACCUGAAGGCACCACGUUCAUCUGUACAAUGGUACACAAGUAUAAACACCAUGGGACCACGCAGCAGUCAUACCGCUCAGGAAGGAGACGUGUUCUGUCUCCUAGAGAUGAACGUACUUUGGUGGUCGAAAAGUGCAAAUCAAUCUCAUAACAACAGCAAAGGACCUUGUGAAAAUUCUGGAGGAAACGGGUACAAAAGUAUUUAUAUCCACAGUAAAACGAGUCCUAUAUCGACAUAACCUGAAGGGCCACUCAGCAAGGAAGAAGCCCCUGCUCCAAAACCGCCACAAAAAAAGCCAGACUACGAUUUGCAACUGCACAUAGGGACAAAGAUUGUACUUUUUGGAGAAAUGUCCUCUGGUCUGAUGAAACAUAAUGACAUAAUGACCAUCAUUAUGUUUGGAGGAAAAAGGGGGAGUCUUGCAUGCUGAAGAACACCAUCCCAACCAUGAAGCACGGGGGUGGCAGCAUCAUGUUGUGGGGGUGCUUUGCUGCAGGAGAGACUGGUGCACUUCACAAAAUAGAUGGCAUCAUGAGGAAGCAAAAUGAUGUGGAUAUAUUGAAGCAACAUCUCAAGACAUCAGUCAGGAAGUUAAAGCUU
rnacentral:lncRNA from 8 species